UACGGGGGGGGCAAGCGUUGUUCGGAAUUACUGGGCGUAAAGCGUGCGCAGGCGGCUUCUCAAGUCAGGGGUGAAAGCCCAGAGCUCAACUCUGGAAUUGCCUUUGAGACUGAGUGGCUUGAGUACGAGAGAGGUGAGUGGAAUUCCCAGUGUAGAGGUGAAAUUCGUAGAUAUUGGGAAGAACACCGGUGGCGAAGGCGGCGCUCUGGACCGAGACUGACGCUGAGGCGCGAAAGCGUGGGGAGCAAACAGG
rnacentral:rRNA from 1 species